GACCAUGAUUACAUUGCUUUUAUUUGUUAACCUUCCUUUUUUCUAAUCUAUGAUGAGUUGUAAAAUCUUUGUCAUGUCAUUCAAUGGUUUUACAUUAUUUCCAUAAGUGACCCUAUGAUGAUCUCAUAGGGCAAAGGCUAGUUAAGUGAACAGUCCCAAUUCCUCUUCAUGGCACAUGAAAAAGUACAUUUUCCAGCUCUCAACAUGUACCUACCUAAUUUUGAAAUGUGACAUAUACCACUAAAAUCAUUUCAAGUAAUCAAAAAAAAGAAAUGAUGAAUCAGUAAAUGCCAAGGCCACUAAUGUACGCAGAUUGAAUAAAGCAGUUUCUGUGAGUCAUGUUUGAUAAUUAUGGUAUGCUGAUUCAUCUUUAUAAUUAUAAUUAAAGAAAGCAACAAGAGCAAUGUGGCCUGCAAAAAAGCAUAUCUUUAAAUGUGGACGCCUGAGGGAAAUGGGGUUUUAGAUUUUAAUUGCUGCUCUCACCAUCAGCAGGUAUCAGCAGAUGACCUUGCUCUUCUGUUCGUUCAGAACUUUACCAUGCAAGUUUUUCCACUUUAUAAAUUGGUAGAUACAGAAAUACUAAUGUCAAAGUUCCAUGCUUGAAGAUAUCAGGAUGAAAACUACCUUGUGUUAACCAAUAUACAUCCAAGGUUCGCCGAUAGAGUAUAAAAAAAAAGGGAAAAGACCUCUAAAUACCCACCAUAUUCUUUUAAUAAACAUGAAUCUGUGCAUAGGAUACACACUUUUUCUAAAAUAUCCUGCUACUAAAAUGUCACCGGACUGGUAAGCCAGCAUUUCCACACACUGCAGAGAAACGGCCUUGUAACCCUUUCAUUUUCUUUCUUCCUGUUCCACUCUAAUUCUGCUUUCCAAUUCUGAAUGAUUUUAGCUGGCAUUCUGCGCAAAUCAAUGUUGUUACCUUUGGUUAUGAUUUUAUGUUUUGACCUUAUUUCCUCCUUGACAUUUACCUUCCCAACUAGGAUCCGUUUUCCCUAGAGCAGGACCCUCCUCUCCUUCAGUGCCAUAAUCCUAAGAUCAGAAGGACGGAUGUGAUAUGCACACAGCCUGGUCUCCUCUACCACAGUUCAAUCUGCAGUUUUAGAACCAUUAUUAUUUUAUAUUUACCUUCUUUUGACUUGUGCCCGGGGAUCAAGUAAUAAAUGUUUUCUAAACUUUCAUAUUUUCUUUUUACUUCCCUCUUCAUUUUUCUGCAGCGUUAAUGGCCAGAAAAACAAAUACUGUUUUGACAGCAGGUUCUGAAAAAUAUACACACACUUGGUUUUGUAUAUAACAAUCUUUCUUGAGUUAUCCAGUUUUAAAGAAUAGUUAACAGAGAAAAUCAAAUAUGUGUGAAAAAUGAUCUAGUUAACUCUGUUCUUUUUUCUCCUGCUCUCUCCUCUUGCUGCAAGCAAGCACUUAGAAAUGUCAAAGAAGAAAAUGUUCUGAGAGAUUCUUGUCCCUUUGGUUUGAAUGUUUUGACUGCACAUCUAAGGAACACUGCUGCGAUGUUUUAUGUUCAGAUUAAAAUAUGAAUAUUGUUUUACCUGAAGUUUUCUUGAAAACAUACGUAUUUCACCCCAAAGAAAUAAUUUCUGUGAGCUAUUAACUUACUUUUUACAACUUGAUUUGCCUCAAAAAUAUCUGUUUAUACUGUGUAUCUAGCCAAGAGAUAUCCAAAGUUCUAACUUCCUCUUACACUAAGUAGGACACCAUGUGGGCAGAGAUGUUACUCAGCUGAAUUACCCAUCCAUGCUGGUGAGUAAUGACUUUUAACAUUUUCCAAAAUCUAUGUACAUAUGACUCACCUUUAAAUUCUCUUAAGUAUUUUUUUUUUUUUAGAAGACUGGGGAAAAUGUGAAAACAUGAAGGAUGUUUGGAUGAGUGCUCAUUCCAAAGAGUUUAAAAAUACUUAAAUAAACUAUCUGAGGAUUUCAACCCAGAAAAGUGGAUGAUUUCUCCUCUGCCAGGUGCCUCGGCCGUGCCACCCUGCCCAGGAGCCAGUGCCCAUGGACUGAAACCUCUAAAAUGAGAAUUAUUUGGAAGAUCAUCUAUGUGGGAAUAUGCAUCAACAGUUCUUUGCCUUUUAGUUCUGAGAAGCUUUUUUAUUGCAUAAAUAUAUCUCAGUUUAUCUUGUUCUAUAAUCGUUUUAUUCAUGUUUGGAUUUUUCUAGUUUAGCUAUCAUUAAAAAUAAAGCUCCUAGGAACACUCAACAUAACACUCCAUAUGAAUAUUUAGAAUUAAAUGGUUGAUAUGUAUGGUUAUUGUAUGAAAAACUUAUUAAAAAAACCUAUUAGAAUGGUUUCCAAAGUCAUUAUAUUAUUUCACAUUACCAACAGUAGUUUAGUAUUUCAAUUUUUUUGUAUCCUGGUCACCAUUUGUUAUUUUAGUCUUUUUAAAUUUUGAUAUUUCAUAUAUAAUGAUAUAUCCUUAAAAUA